UGAAAUCCCCUCCACAUCACCGCCCAAGGGCGGAGAUGAGGCGAGGGGGCAGAGGCCUGGCAUGCGCACAGGAACGUUGAGGAGCUGAUGGCGAUGGUGAC
rnacentral:ribozyme from 1 species